GACGAACGCUGGCGGCGUGCCUAAUACAUGCAAGUCGAACGCUUCUUUCCUCCCGAGUGCUUGCACUCAAUUGGAAAGAGGAGUGGCGGACGGGUGAGUAACACGUGGGUAACCUACCCGUCAGAGGGGGAUAACACUUGGAAACAGGUGCUAAUACCGCAUAACAGUUUAUGCCGCAUGGCAUAAGAGUGAAAGGCGCUUUCGGGUGUCGCUGAUGGAUGGACCCGCGGUGCAUUAGCUAGUUGGUGAGGUAACGGCUCACCAAGGCCACGAUGCAUAGCCGACCUGAGAGGGUGAUCGGCCACACUGGGACUGAGACACGGCCCAGACUCCUACGGGAGGCAGCAGUAGGGAAUCUUCGGCAAUGGACGAAAGUCUGACCGAGCAACGCCGCGUGAGUGAAGAAGGUUUUCGGAUCGUAAAACUCUGUUGUUAGAGAAGAACAAGGACGUUAGUAACUGAACGUCCCCUGGCGGUAUCUAACCAGAAAGCCACGGCUAACUACGUG
rnacentral:rRNA from 1 species